rfam:Camelus ferus unplaced genomic scaffold scaffold1086, whole genome shotgun sequence.
GAGGGUAUAGCUCAGUGGUAAAGCACAUGCCCAGCAUGCACAAGGACCUGGGUUCAAUCCCCAAUAUCUCCA